CACCUCCUUUCUGGACACCUGCUAGAUUUUUAUUGAUACCAAUAAGGAUCGCUUUCAUUAGGUUAUCAUUACAUCAUUAUUAUGCAUCACUAGCUAAACAUCUCAGUUUACUGGGCAUGUAAGUUUCUCUGCAGUUUUUACUAAUCUUCUUCAAUAAUUCAUCUUCCUUUCAGUCAUUUUUUUGAAUUCCUCCCUCUAAUAAAACACUGCCCAAAUGGUUUCCAACCUAACAGCUAGGAAGCACAAUUUUGCAUUGCCUAUCUCAUGUUUGCCUGUACUUAGGUCUAAUGAUGAUGUCCAAUCCAACGUUGAUCAAGGUUGACGGUUGCUGGAAAACUGUUUAACUAGAUGUUGAUGCAUAGAUGUCGGCUCCAUAAACAAUUGAAUCUUUGAUAAUGACUUCACAUCCACCUAUAUCUUGUGUUCUGUUACUCUGUCCUGCCUUCUUUUGGUUAAUUUUCUUGUUUAAAAGAGUGCCAUGUGCUGUUUCUAUCAGAUAGCAUCAAUUUGAUUGCCACCAGCAAAUAAUUUUGGACCAUAUCUUCAACUGAGAGCUUUGCUUGUACAGUUUAGAUUACAUCAGUCAGAUAGGCCCCCUUUCUCUACACAAUGCACAUCGAACUUGUUGCCUAGAUCACCCUGGGGUUUUCAUUGUGGUUCGAUGUCCUAUUGACUGCUGGUCUUCUUUCUGUUAAGUUGGUCAUUUUCAAUCGUGGAAAUCAUAAAUUCAUCGUCCAAUUUGAUGGUACUUUUAUCCCUGUAUGAAUUGCAGAAAACUAGUGUGGUCCUAUGAUAAUUCCUUACAACCAGCUUAAUUAUGUGCCAUGUUUUCCUUAAAAUUCUGGUUGAUGGGGGCACAUAAGCUCAGUGUAAAUUGUCAUGAAUCAUGACUUGCUAUGAUAUGCGGAUACUUCGCAAAACUCACGUACCGGUAUCGGAUACUGUAUCGGAUACCCGUACUCCACAGAUACUCCCGGAUACGUAUUCCGUAAGUAUCAGACUAUUUAGGUAUUUUCAAAUAAUAAAAAUAAAUCGGAUACUCGUGGGAUACCUGUGGAUACCUGUCCGAUACCUUCAAACCCUAACAACACCACUCAAUCGCUUCGUAUAAAGGUCCUCCAUUCAGUUGUGCCAUCCUCUCAUCCCCACUCGCGCAGCCGCAGGCCCGCAGCAGCCUCGCACAGCUCCCUUGCUGUCACCGCCGCUCGGCCACCCGCCCACGCCUCCUCUUACUCCUUCCCCAUCGCUCGUCGCUCCCUUGCCGUCACCUCCGCCCGCCCACCCGUCCGUGCCUCCUACUGCUCCAGCGGCUGCGCGGCCUGUCCAGACAGAGGCCCGCACAUCUGUUAAAGCACUAUUUAGGGUGGUGCUGCGCUGCUGGAGCUCGCCGCUGGCGGGCCGCCACGGCCGCCGGAGCGCGCCUCUGGACGGCCUGUGCGGCCGCUAGAGAGGGAGAGGAUGAGCCGCGGCCUCCGGAGAGGGAGAGGAGGAGCCGAGAAGAAGACGACCGACCUCCAUUCGUGGAACAGACGAACAUUCUGCAGAUACCAGAUAGUGCUGUCCACCAAUCUUUACUUCGAAUAUACAGAUUGUACUAAUUUGUGCCAAACAGCUUCAUCAGCUCUUUGUUUGCCAUCUGCAUUGGAGGUUGAGUCUUGACACAUUAUCUGGAUAACAUAGCAGGCAAUGCGGCAUGUCUCAUAACCUCUUGAAUACAAUAUCAAGCCUAUUAAUUGUGCUCUAGUGGGGAAAGCCUGCAUUUAAUAAUUGGUUAUGGGAUGAUGUCAUACAUAUGCUUAUGAAGGGUGACAAUAAGCACGGCUAUAAUGAUCAUGUAGUUAUAAAGAAUGAUCCUAUAUUUGACAGCUAUUCAAGUGGAAGAUAUGCGGUGAACAAUUUAUGGCAGUGAAGUUUGCUAGUGUAGCCUGGAUAAUUAGAAAGCUCGAACUUAUCUACAAUUCUAGUUUAUAUAAGUGUUCUGUACUAAAUGUCUAAACACAAUUCUUAAGCAAGAAAUAUUGUUUGCAUAUUCACUAGUAUAGGUUAGUAGCUUUCAUUUAUUUUCUUAAUUCUGAUAACAUCAACCUUCAUAUUGUCUACAAUUCUCCUGGUCACUUUGUGCCUUGUGGGCCCUUGUACUCAGCUAUAUCUAGAAACUAUUCUUCUGAAAUUGAAAAAAAGGGUUCUACCAAGAGCUUGGAAUUCUUAAUUCUCAUGACAAGACAGUAGUUGUAACAGGACUAGUUAGUCUUAGUUGAAGGCAAUGACCACGGAUGUCUUAAAAACAAAAUAACUGGCUGGCUGAGGCCUGAGGUGGUCCUUGACUCCUUGUGGAGUCUUGUUAGUAGUUGGGAGUUAGCUACUAACUUUGUGAUUAUGCUGUACAAAUGUACUUCCAUGUGAACAAAGAUAAGAACAAGUUAAAGACUUGUCUAAAGCUGUUUUUGGCAGUCUUUUGAACACAUAGCGCAAGUGCAAGGUGUUCUAUAGUAAAAGAUAAAUAAUAACAUUGUUUUUCUUUAGCAACCUCAAGUUAUGCUGUUAAAGAUCAUGCACUUUUGUAAUAUUCCCUCUUUAUAGAUCACCAUAUAGUUUCCAGGAACUGGAGUGCUAUUGACAAUUCCUUGAUAUAUUAAGGUUCCAGAAGGCACAUUUAUUUGUGAUUUUGUGUGUUUUUCACUUUGCUCUUCCAUGAACAAAUAGUUUUUGCAGAGCAAAGUGAAAAACUUAGGCCUGUUUGCAUCAGGUAUACUGCAGACUCACAUAAAAAAUAUUUUCACAGUUCUACAAAUCUGGACUGGAAUGUGUUUUUGUGUUAACUAAAAUCCUUAUUCAAUUCAAAUAUUCAUGGGUGAUACUGUUCAAGUCGUCAGAUCUUUCCUUUUCUUUUGUUCAUCAUCUGCCUAUUAAAGCGCAAUUAAAGAACUGAUGAUGACACUAUCCAUAUGCUACAGAAUGUGUCACAUUCAGACGACUUGUAUUUCUUGCUCUUGAGGGAGGGUAUCAUGUAUUGGGGCCACCUGGUGUUAAUAAGGUCCAGCUUUGAGUCCAUUGCCUUUGGCAGAAAUAAUAGUGAUGGCAACUCGUGUCUGUCAAUCGACAAUGUCAUUGGAAUGUGCAUCUGGACAUAAGACCAAUGCAGGCAUCAGAACAAGGACCUGUCCUCGCAGAAGUGGUAUAAGUCCGCAUGAAGAGAAGAACAGUUGAAGACUCUGCACAUAAAGACUCCCUUUUCAGUUGAUGAUUAUGGACUGUAAGGUAAAACCUUUGCACAAGAGACUUCAGAAUUCUUUAGGACCAAUAAUCAGUGGUCAUGUACUGCCCUUCAGCAUGUGCUGCAACUGCAACGGUUUUCACAUCCUUCGGUUCUAGAACUGAGGAUUGAUUUUGCCUGUUACGAAAACAGAUAUAUAAACAACUUUUCGACGAAACUAACAACUAAUCUGUAUUACUAUGCUGCAAGAAGUUUCAUGAAAGGCAGUGGAGCUUCAUCCAGAGUGUCAAAUCUGAAUUCUACCACAAGUACGUACAAUCCUAGAUGGGCAAGACGAUGGCCGCGUGGCGUUCACAGGGGAAUUUGACCA